CUCUUUGCGAAGUAGCAGCCUUCUACGCUGCGACAACGGCAGUUUCUUAAUUUGCGGCGCAGAGUAAACUCAACCAGUCAUAAGUUUUCAAGGCGAGAAAUACCUAAUAUUUGAAAACAUACAUGUCAAGAAGAGUCUUUCAGUCUCUGCACCCGGAAGCUUGAUUUUUAUUUUGUCACAUGGCUAGCAAGAGAUUUCAAUAACAAAAAAUGGCGACAAUCACGUUGUUCAAUGUGGUCUUGCUGCGUCAUUAAAGAUAUUUAUGUAAACACGGGGAAGAAAAGGGAAAAUUGCGGGCUGGGGCAGUUCUGCUUCUACGACACUGACGGCAAACGCGACAAACGAAGUUGUUUACAUGAAGGGGUCAGCACGGAAGGCGGGGCGCCAGGGGGAGGAGGCUGUUUCAACAGGCGUCGCGACUGGACUACUGGAGAGUAACCAAGCAAGGAGGGCGGAGUCACCGGAAAACCAUAACAAGUCUGACGUCAGCAUUGAGUGGUGUGCCUUGUGAUGAUUCUCCCCAGUUAUGAAGAUGGCUGCUUGGCACAAGGACCUUUUGGGGCUGCUUGGCUCUGGAGGGGCAACAGCACUGCUAGAUGUGACAGGCUGCCCUGGUUCAGUUCUCACAGUGCUGAUGCUGUCCAUUUCAAAGGUACAGUACUGUGAUAACUGAAGGAUGGCAGCCAUCUUGGCUCCACUUGCCCAGUGUGUGGGGGUAAAAAAAGCCAAGUACUCACACUAACCCCAUUAUAGGAGUGUACAUUUCCUGUUAAAAGCCAAUUCUGAGGUAUGUUUCUUAGCCAUACAUGAAUCAAACUGAAUGGAAUUUUGAAUCUGAAGCAUACUUCACAUUUACAAUGAAGUUUAAUGAAGAUCCACUGGCUAGUUUUUAUCCUCUGCACAAGAAAAAAUAUUAAAAAUCGUAAUUAGCUUGUACAAAUGAUAAUAGGCAUAGAUUUCUUGUGUUAAAUAUUUUGAAGCAAAUGUGUGCAUUCGAUUAUGUGCAUAAUAAAGAUCAUUGCUCUAAAA